rnacentral:rRNA from 1 species
AUUGAACGCUGGCGGCAGGCCUAACACAUGCAAGUCGAACGAGUGGCGGACGAGUGAGUAAUGUCUGGGAAACUGCCUGAUGGAGGAGGAUGACUACUGGAAACGGUAGCUAAUACCGCAUACCAUCAAGUGUGCCCAGAUGGGAUUGGCUUGUUGGUGGGGUAACGGCUCACCAGGUCGACGAUCCCUAGCUGGUCUGAGAGGAUGACGGGUCAAACUGGAACGGAGACAGCGCCCGGAGUCCUACGAGAGGUAGCAGCGGGGAAUAUUCUACAAUGGGCGCAAGCCUGAUGCAGCCAUGCCGCGUGUAUGAAGUAGGCCUGCGGGUUGUAAAGUACUUUCAGCGGGGGGGCGUUACCCGCAGAAGAAGCACCGGCUAACUCCGUGCCAGCAGCCGCGGUAAUAC